AGCAGAUUUGAAACACUCUUUUUGUGGAGUUUGCAAGUGGAGAUUUCAAGCGAUUUGAUGCCAACAGUAGAAAAGGAAAUAUCUUCAAAUAAAAACUAGACAGAAUCAUUCUCAGAAACUACUUUGUGAUGUGUGCCUUCAACUCACAGAGUUUAACCUUUCUUUUCUUAGAGCAGUUUAGAAACACUCUGCUUGUUAUGUCUGCAAGUGGAUAUUUGGACCUCUUUGAGGCCUUCGUUGCAAACGGGGUUUCUUCCUUUCAUGCUAGACUAAGAAGAGUUCUCAGUAACUUUUUUGUGUUGUGUGUAUUCAACUCACAGAGUUGAACCUUGCUUUAGAGAGAGCAGAUUUGAAACACUCUUGCUGUGGCAUUUUCAGGUGGAGAUUUCAAGCGAUUUGAGGACAAUUGCAGAAAAGGAAAUAUCUUCGUAUAAUAACCAGACAGAAUCAUUCUCAGAAAGUGCUUUGUGAUGUGUGCGUUCAACUCACAGAGUUUAACCUUUCUUUUCAUAGAGGAGUUUGGAAACACACUGUUUGUAAAGUCUGCAAGUGGAUAUAUGGACCUGUUUGAGGCCUUCGUUGGAAACGGGAUUUCUUCAUUGAAUGCUAGACGGAAGAAUUCUCAGUAAAUUCUUUGUGUUGUGUGCAUUCAACUCACAGAGUGGAACGUCCCUUUAGACAGAGCAGAUUUGAAACACUCUUUUUGCGGAAUUUGCAAGUGGAGAUUUCUAGCCAUUUGAUGCCAACAGUAGAAAGGGAAAUAUCUUCAAAUAAAAACCAGACAGAAUCAUUCUCAGAAAAUUCUUUGUGAUGUGUGCGUUCAACUCACAUAGUUUAACCUUUCUUUUCAUAGAGCAGUUUGGAAACACUCUGUUUGUAAAGUCUGCAAGUGGAUAUUUGGACCGCAUUGAGGCCUUCGUUGGAAACGGGAUUUCUUCAUUUCAUGCUAGACAGAAGAAUUCUCAGUAACUUCUUUGUGCUGUGUGUAUUCAAC
rnacentral:lncRNA from 1 species